UACAGAGGGUGCAAGCGUUAAUCGGAGUUACUGGGCGUAAAGCGUGCGUAGGCGGAUGCUUAAGUCGGAUGUGAAAGCCCCGGGCUUAACCUGGGAACUGCAUUCGAUACUGGGUGUCUAGAGUAUGGUAGAGGAAAGUGGAAUUUCCGGUGUAGCGGUGAAAUGCGUAGAUAUCGGAAAGAACACCAGCGGCGAAGGCGCUUUCUGGACCAAUACUGACGCUGAGGUACGAAAGCGUGGGGAGCAAACAGGAUUAGAUACCCCCGUA
rnacentral:rRNA from 1 species